UUAAGCGACUAAGCGUACACGGUGGAUGCCCUGGCAGUCAGAGGCGAUGAAGGACGUGCUAAUCUGCGAUAAGCGUCGGUGAGGUGAUAUGAACCGUUAUAACCGGCGAUUUCCGAAUGGGGAAACCCAGUGUGUUUCGACACACUAUCAUUAACUGAAUCCAUAGGUUAAUGAGGCGAACCGGGGGAACUGAAACAUCUAAGUACCCCGAGGAAAAGAAAUCAACCGAGAUUCCCCCAGUAGCGGCGAGCGAACGGGGAGGAGCCCAGAGCCUGAAUCAGUGUGUGUGUUAGUGGAAGCGUCUGGAAAGGCGCGCGAUACAGGGUGACAGCCCCGUACACAAAAAUGCACAUAUUGUGAGCUCGAUGAGUAGGGCGGGACACGUGGUAUCCUGUCUGAAUAUGGGGGGACCAUCCUCCAAGGCUAAAUACUCCUGACUGACCGAUAGUGAACCAGUACCGUGAGGGAAAGGCGAAAAGAACCCCGGCGAGGGGAGUGAAAAAGAACCUGAAACCGUGUACGUACAAGCAGUGGGAGCCUCUUAAUGGGGUGACUGCGUACCUUUUGUAUAAUGGGUCAGCGACUUAUAUUCUGUAGCAAGGUUAACCGAAUAGGGGAGCCGAAGGGAAACCGAGUCUUAACUGGGCGUUAAGUUGCAGGGUAUAGACCCGAAACCCGGUGAUCUAGCCAUGGGCAGGUUGAAGGUUGGGUAACACUAACUGGAGGACCGAACCGACUAAUGUUGAAAAAUUAGCGGAUGACUUGUGGCUGGGGGUGAAAGGCCAAUCAAACCGGGAGAUAGCUGGUUCUCCCCGAAAGCUAUUUAGGUAGCGCCUCGUGAAUUCAUCUCCGGGGGUAGAGCACUGUUUCGGCAAGGGGGUCAUCCCGACUUACCAACCCGAUGCAAACUGCGAAUACCGGAGAAUGUUAUCACGGGAGACACACGGCGGGUGCUAACGUCCGUCGUGAAGAGGGAAACAACCCAGACCGCCAGCUAAGGUCCCAAAGUCAUGGUUAAGUGGGAAACGAUGUGGGAAGGCCCAGACAGCCAGGAUGUUGGCUUAGAAGCAGCCAUCAUUUAAAGAAAGCGUAAUAGCUCACUGGUCGAGUCGGCCUGCGCGGAAGAUGUAACGGGGCUAAACCAUGCACCGAAGCUGCGGCAGCGACACUAUGUGUUGUUGGGUAGGGGAGCGUUCUGUAAGCCUGUGAAGGUGGCCUGUGAGGGGUGCUGGAGGUAUCAGAAGUGCGAAUGCUGACAUAAGUAACGAUAAAGCGGGUGAAAAGCCCGCUCGCCGGAAGACCAAGGGUUCCUGUCCAACGUUAAUCGGGGCAGGGUGAGUCGACUCCUAAGGCGAGGCCGAAAGGCGUAGUCGAUGGGAAACAGGUUAAUAUUCCUGUACUUGGUGUUACUGCGAAGGGGGGACGGAGAAGGCUAUGUUGGCCGGGCGACGGUUGUCCCGGUUUAAGCGUGUAGGCUGGUUUUCCAGGCAAAUCCGGAAAACCAAGGCUGAGGCGUGAUGACGAGGCACUACGGUGCUGAAGUGACAAAUGCCCUGCUUCCAGGAAAAGCCUCUAAGCAUCAGGUAACAUCAAAUCGUACCCCAAACCGACACAGGUGGUCAGGUAGAGAAUACCAAGGCGCUUGAGAGAACUCGGGUGAAGGAACUAGGCAAAAUGGUGCCGUAACUUCGGGAGAAGGCACGCUGAUAUGUAGGUGAAGCGACUUGCUCGUGGAGCUGAAAUCAGUCGAAGAUACCAGCUGGCUGCAACUGUUUAUUAAAAACACAGCACUGUGCAAACACGAAAGUGGAGGUAUACGGUGUGACGCCUGCCCGGUGCCGGAAGGUUAAUUGAUGGGGUUAGCGGUAACGCGAAGCUCUUGAUCGAAGCCCCGGUAAACGGCGGCCGUAACUAUAACGGUCCUAAGGUAGCGAAAUUCCUUGUCGGGUAAGUUCCGACCUGCACGAAUGGCGUAAUGAUGGCCAGGCUGUCUCCACCCGAGACUCAGUGAAAUUGAACUCGCUGUGAAGAUGCAGUGUACCCGCGGCAAGACGGAAAGACCCCGUGAACCUUUACUAUAGCUUGACACUGAACAUUGAGCCUUGAUGUGUAGGAUAGGUGGGAGGCUUUGAAGUGUGGACGCCAGUCUGCAUGGAGCCGACCUUGAAAUACCACCCUUUAAUGUUUGAUGUUCUAACGUUGGCCCGUAAUCCGGGUUGCGGACAGUGUCUGGUGGGUAGUUUGACUGGGGCGGUCUCCUCCUAAAGAGUAACGGAGGAGCACGAAGGUUGGCUAAUCCUGGUCGGACAUCAGGAGGUUAGUGCAAUGGCAUAAGCCAGCUUGACUGCGAGCGUGACGGCGCGAGCAGGUGCGAAAGCAGGUCAUAGUGAUCCGGUGGUUCUGAAUGGAAGGGCCAUCGCUCAACGGAUAAAAGGUACUCCGGGGAUAACAGGCUGAUACCGCCCAAGAGUUCAUAUCGACGGCGGUGUUUGGCACCUCGAUGUCGGCUCAUCACAUCCUGGGGCUGAAGUAGGUCCCAAGGGUAUGGCUGUUCGCCAUUUAAAGUGGUACGCGAGCUGGGUUUAGAACGUCGUGAGACAGUUCGGUCCCUAUCUGCCGUGGGCGCUGGAGAACUGAGGGGGGCUGCUCCUAGUACGAGAGGACCGGAGUGGACGCAUCACUGGUGUUCGGGUUGUCAUGCCAAUGGCACUGCCCGGUAGCUAAAUGCGGAAGAGAUAAGUGCUGAAAGCAUCUAAGCACGAAACUUGCCCCGAGAUGAGUUCUCCCUGAGACUUAGAGUCUCCUGAAGGAACGUUGAAGACGACGACGUUGAUAGGCCGGGUGUGUAAGCGCAGCGAUGCGUUGAGCUAACCGGUACUAAUGAACCGUGAGGCUUAACCUU
rnacentral:rRNA from 1 species